UGGGGAAUAUUGGGCAAUGGGCGGAAGCCUGACCCAGCCACGCCGCGUGAGUGAUGAAGGCCUUCGGGUCGUAAAGCUCUGUGGGGAGGGAAGAAAAGAGCCUGGCUAAUAUCCAGGAAGUUGACGGUACCUCCUUAGCAAGCACCGGCUAACUCUGUGCCAGCAGCCGCGGUAAUACAGAGGGUGCAAACGUUGCUCGGAAUCAUUGGGCGUAAAGCGCACGUAGGCGGUCAUGUAAGUCAGGAGUGAAAGCCCUCGGCUUAACCGGGGAAGUGCUUUUGAAACUGCAUGACUUGAAUACUGGAGAGGAUCGCGGAAUUCCCGGUGUAGAGGUGAAAUUCGUAGAUAUCGGGAGGAACACCAGUGGCGAAGGCGGCGAUCUGGACAGAUAUUGACGCUGAGGUGCGAAAGCGUGGGGAGCAAACA
rnacentral:rRNA from 1 species